CCCAUGUCCUAAAUCAUAAUGUAUCGGUUAUGCAAGAAAAUUCGUUUGGGGUGUUUCCGGUUAUGAGUUAAAAGAGAACAACACGCCGCUUCGACAGGAACGUAUUCACCAAAACUAAAUAAAGAUGCUGCUUAUUCGGAACCAAAGACGUGGCAAUCAAGGCUAGACCCAGAUAGUAUGUCAACUGUAUGUAUAGUAGGUGCAGAGAAUUGAAG